AUUGAACGCUGGCGGCAGGCUUAACACAUGCAAGUCGAGCGGGGGAAGGUAGCUUGCUACUGGACCUAGCGGCGGACGGGUGAGUAACGCCUAGGAAUCUGCCUAUUAGUGGGGGACAACAUCUCGAAAGGGAUGCUAAUACCGCAUACGUCCUACGGGAGAAAGCAGGGGAUCUUCGGACCUCGCGCUAAUAGAUGAGCCUAAGUCGGAUUAGCUAGUUGGUGGGGUAAAGGCCUACCAAGGCGACGAUCUGUAGCGGGUCUGAGAGGAUGAUCCGCCACACUGGGACUGAGACACGGCCCAGACUCCUACGGGAGGCAGCAGUGGGGAAUAUUGGACAAUGGGGGGAACCCUGAUCCAGCCAUGCCGCGUGUGUGAAGAAGGCCUUAUGGUUGUAAAGCACUUUAAGCGAGGAGGAGGCUACUUUAGUUAAUACCUAGAGAUAGUGGACGUUACUCGCAGAAUAAGCACCGGCUAACUCUGUGCCAGCCGCCGCCGUAA
rnacentral:rRNA from 1 species